UUCAUAACACAAUUUAGUUGUCUUGGCCCAUAAUUAUGUCACUUGUCGACUCAAUAUGGUUAAAACAUCUGUGAAAUACUAGAUGUGGAUUUUAUUCAACAUUUUGUGAAUUUUUUGAAUUUCGACGUAUGUAAAAAAUUUGAAAAUGAUCUUUGUCCAUAUUUUAUUUUUUUUAUUGGUAGUUAAGAGUAUGUUUAAAAGUUUAGUCCUUUAUUUAUCUAUAGUUAUUUCUUAACAUGUUUACAAUUGCAC